UGGGGAAUAUUGGACAAUGGGCGCAAGCCUGAUCCAGCCAUGCCGCGUGAGUGACGAAGGCCUUAGGGUUGUAAAGCUCUUUUGGCGGGGAAGAUAAUGACGGUACCCGCAGAAUAAGCUCCGGCUAACUUCGUACCAGCAGCCGCGGUAAUACGAAGGGAGCUAGCGUUGUUCGGAAUCACUGGGCGUAAAGCGCACGUAGGUGGGCAGUUAAGUCAGGGGUGAAAGCCCGAGGCUCAACCUCGGAAUUGCCUCUGAUACUGGCUGUCUAGAGUUCGAGAGAGGUGAGUGGAAUUCCCGGUGUAGCGGUGAAAUGCGUAGAUAUCGGAAGGAACAUCGGUGGCGAAGGCGUCUACCUGGCCUAAUACUGACACUGAGGCACGAAAGCGUGGGGAGCAAACAGGAUUAGAUACCCACGUAGUCCCUGAGCGGGCUGGCAAGGCGCAU
rnacentral:rRNA from 1 species